rnacentral:sRNA from 1 species
AUGAGGGUGCAAGAGAGCUAUUGGUACAAUAAAGAAAGGAAAAGUUGUACGCCACUACAUCACUACGCUGGGUGCUAGCCAACAUGAUAACAGUACUUACAAGAUAACAAUAACAAUAUAAAAAUGAUUAAGUGAAGGAAUGGUGAGGAUUGGAAAGCAGAUGAGUGUACAAGUGAGAGGAAGAUUGAAGAAGAAAGCAGUAAAAUGCAGUUGGGUCCUUAAUGCACUCCUAAAGAAUAGAUUGAGAAGUUUAAGGAUGUUGAGAGUUUGAGAAAUGCUGGAGGUAUCAUCAUCUCAGCUUCUGAUUUUUAAAACUAUCCAUCAUGGAACCUUGAAUUUUUUUAUUAUUUAAAUUUUUAUUUAUAUACAAUAAGGUCCGGAUAGUAUAGGUAUAAUUUUUAAUUAAAUUCUUAAAUCUUUGAAUUUUAUGUCAAUUUCAUUUGACGUUAAUCGGUCAUUGUUUGUAGAUUGCCAAUAAUCAAAGUGAUUAAUCACUAAUUGGAAAUAUUUAAAGUGUAAUUUUCUAUA